rnacentral:rRNA from 1 species
GACGAACGCUGGCGGCGUGCUUAACACAUGCAAGUCGAACGGAAAGGCCUUUUCGGAGGUACUCGAGUGGCGAACGGGUGAGUAACACGUGGGUGAUCUGCCCUGCACUCUGGGAUAAGCCUGGGAAACUGGGUCUAAUACCGGAUAGGACCGCACUUUAGUGUGUGUGGUGGAAAGUUGUUUCGGUGUAGGAUGAGCCCGCGGCCUAUCAGCUUGUUGGUGGGGUAAUGGCCUACCAAGGCGGCGACGGGUAGCCGGACUGAGAGGUUGGUCGGCCACAUUGGGACUGAGAUACGGCCCAGACUCCUACGGGAGGCAGCAGUGGGGAAUAUUGCACAAGGGGCGCAAGCCUGAUGCAGCGACGCCGCGUGGGGGAUGACGGCCUUCGGGUUGUAAACUCCUUUCGCCAGGGACGAAGCGUUUUGUGACGGUACCUGGAGAAGAAGCACCGGCUAACUACGUG